GAGUUUGAUCAUGGCUCAGAUUGAACGCUGGCGGAAUGCUUUACACAUGCAAGUCGAACGGCAGCAUAGAGAGCUUGCUCUCUGAUGGCGAGUGGCGAACGGGUGAGUAAUAUAUCGGAACGUGCCUAGUAAUGGGGAAUAACUAGCUGAAAGGUUAGCUAAUGCCGCAUACGACCUACGGGUGAAAGCAGGGGAUCUUCGGACCUUGCGUUAUUAGAGCGGCCGAUAUCUGAUUAGCUUGUUGGUGGGGUAAUGGCCUACCAAGGCGACGACCAGUAGCUGGUCUGAGAGGACGAUCAGCCACACUGGAACUGAGACACGGUCCAGACUCCUACGGGAGGCAGCAGUGGGGAAUUUUGGACAAUGGGGGCAACCCUGAUCCAGCCAUUCCGCGUGAGUGAAGAAGGCCUUCGGGUUGUAAAGCUCUUUCGCAAGAGAAGAAAACUUUCUAUCUAAUAAAUAGUAAGUAUGACGGUAUCUUGACAAGAAGCACCGGCUAACUACGUGCCAGCAGCCGCGGUAAUACGUAGGGUGCAAGCGUUAAUCGGAAUUACUGGGCGUAAAGCGUGCGCAGGCAGUUUUAUAAGUCAGAUGUGAAAUCCCCGAGCUCAACUUGGGAACUGCGUUUGAAACUAUAAGACUAGAGUGUGUCAGAGGGGGGUAGAAUUCCAAGUGUAGCAGUGAAAUGCGUAGAGAUUUGGAGGAAUACCAAUGGCGAAGGCAGCCCCCUGGGAUAACACUGACGCUCAUGCACGAAAGCGUGGGGAGCAAACAGGAUUAGAUACCCUGGUAGUCCACGCCCUAAACGAUGUCUACUAGUUGUUGGUGGAGUAAAAUCCAUGAGUAACGCAGCUAACGCGUGAAGUAGACCGCCUGGGGAGUACGGUCGCAAGAUUAAAACUCAAAUGAAUUGACGGGGGCCCGCACAAGCGGUGGAUUAUGUGGAUUAAUUCGAUGCAACGCGAAAAACCUUACCUGGCCUUGACAUGUACCGAAUUUAGCAGAGAUGCUUUAGUGCUCGAAAGAGAGCCGUAACACAGGUGCUGCAUGGCUGUCGUCAGCUCGUGUCGUGAGAUGUUGGGUUAAGUCCCGCAACGAGCGCAACCCUUGUCAUUAGUUGCUACAUUUAGUUGGGCACUCUAAUGAGACUGCCGGUGACAAACCGGAGGAAGGUGGGGAUGACGUCAAGUCCUCAUGGCCCUUAUGGGUAGGGCUACACACGUCAUACAAUGGCUGGUACAAAGGGUUGCCAACCCGCGAGGGGGAGCUAAUCCCAUAAAGCCAGUCGUAGUCCGGAUCGUAGUCUGCAACUCGACUACGUGAAGUCGGAAUCGCUAGUAAUCGUGGAUCAGAAUGUCACGGUGAAUACGUUCCCGGGUCUUGUACACACCGCCCGUCACACCAUGGGAGCGGGUCUCGCCAGAAGUAGUUAGCCUAACCGCAAGGGGGGCGAUUACCACGGCGGGGUUCGUGACUGGGGUGAAGUCGUAACAAGGUAACC
rnacentral:rRNA from 1 species